UACAGAGGUCCCAAGCGUUGUUCGGAUUCACUGGGCGUAAAGGGUGCGUAGGCGGUCGGGUAAGUCUGAUGUGAAAUCUCACAGCUUAACUGUGAAACUGCAUUGGAUACUAUCCGGCUAGAGGAAUGGAGGGGAGACUGGAAUACUUGGUGUAGCAGUGAAAUGCAUAGAUAUCAAGUGGAACACCAGUGGCGAAGGCGAGUCUCUGGACAUUUCCUGACGCUGAGGCACGAAAGCCAGGGGAGCAAACGGG
rnacentral:rRNA from 1 species